UGGUUCUGGCAUCGAUGAAGAACGCAGCGAAAUGCGAUAAGUAAUGUGAAUUGCAGAAUUCAGUGAAUCAUCGAAUCUUUGAACGCACAUUGCGCCCUCUGGUAUUCCGGGGGGCAUGCCUGUUCGAGCGUCAUUACAACCCUCAAGCUAUGCUUGGUAUUAAGCCUCACCCGUGAGGGCGGGCUAUAAAAUCAGUGGCGGUGCCAUUCGGCUUCAAGCGUAGUAAUUCUCUCGCUUUGGAGGUCUGGUUGUGUACCUGCCAGUAACCCCAAUAUUUUAUCAAGGUUGACCUCGGAUCAGGUAGGGAUACCCGCUGA
rnacentral:misc_RNA from 1 species